UACGAAGGGGCUAGCGUUGCUCGGAAUCACUGGGCGUAAAGGGUGCGUAGGCGGGUCUUUAAGUCAGGGGUGAAAUCCUGGAGCUCAACUCCAGAACUGCCUUUGAUACUGAGGAUCUUGAGUACGGGAGAGGUGAGUGGAACUGCGAGUGUAGAGGUGAAAUUCGUAGAUAUUCGGAAGAACACCAGUGGCGAAGGCGGCUCACUGGACUGGUAUUGACGCUGAGGCGCGAAAGCGUGGGGAGCAAACGGG
rnacentral:rRNA from 1 species